rnacentral:lncRNA from 10 species
AGGUGCCCUUCACCACAGAGAUUCACACACAUUGUCCUGGGAUUCAGAUAAGCUAACAAAAUAGAGUGGAAGCUGGUUGAACUGUGGGCCUAUCAACUGCCUCACUUUACAAGUGCACAAAGAAGAGAUCAUGUGAACACACAGCAAGACGGUGGCCAUCUACAAGCCAAAAGAAGAAGCCUCAGAAUAAAAUCCACCUUGAACUUGGGCUUCUCAGCCUCCAGCACUGUGAGAAAUAAAAGUCUAUUUUUAAG